GUGCCCUUCAGCAAGCAGCGGUAACACAGCAGAGUGCUCAAAUCCUGCAGCUAAAGCACAACGUUUAGCUCUUACUAACGCAGGCAAGCAACAUCAGGUUAAGGGGAGGGGGGUGGUUGGCAAUCGCUUGCUCCCCUCCUUCUCAGACCCAACAGCAACGCCGUUCAUGUGUCGCCUUCCCGGGUUACUGUAGCUGGGGAAGAUUAAAGGGGAACUCACCCAGACUCUUCCCUGCCGGCUGUUGUUCGCUCCUCCCCCGCCUCACACACCCACCCAGCAGCCGCGCAAAUCGUACGUCUACUUCCCGCGCUGCCAUGACGCAAACGGGCAAAGUGGGAAAGAAUGAAAAGAGAAGGCACAGAACGAGCUCAAAGCCCGGAUGUCUCGCGAGUGCAAGAUAUAGGCAGCCACGUGCGCAAUACUAUUUAUACCUGAGGUACUAGUAAUACGAAAGCAGCUCAAAACAGCAAACACACUGAAGGGCUAUGAAUCAGAGGCCUCGUCUUUUUGAGAGGACUACAAAAACAGAUCAACAAAGCAAAAAAGGCUAGGGCCUGAAUAUGAGAUUUCUUGGCACGUUUUACUUGCUCUAAAGGAAGUUCAUCAGAAUAAAGAAGUUGGGGUCCAGAUUUGUGACCUUUGAGGAUACAAAAGUCAAACAGCAAACUGGGAUGGGUUAGUCCGCAAAACUGUGGCCUCUGCAUUUUUUCUUGUUACAAAAAGCAGUUCAAAUUGAACAAAUGGGGUAUUGGGGUGUAUGGAUCUGGGACUUUUAUUUUAUUAUAUUGCUGUAAAAAUUGGUUUAUCAAAUAAAGUGGGAGUCUCUGAAUCUA